rnacentral:rRNA from 1 species
GUACUAAGGUAGCAUAAUCAAUUGUCUUUUAAUUGAAGAAUGGAAUGAAAGAAUUAAUGAAAUAUAUACUGUCUCAAUUAUAAAAAUUAAUUUAAAUUUUUAGUUAAAAUGCUAAAUUUAAAUUAUGGGACGAUAAGACCCUAUAGAAUUUUAUAUUAAAUUAUUUAUAAUAAUUAAUUAUUAAAUUAUUAUAAAUAAUUUAAUAUUUAAUUGGGAGGAUUUAUAAAUUUAAUAAACUUUAUAUUAAUAAUUAAACUUUGAUUUAAGAAAAUUUAAUUUGAUAUAGUAGUAUUAAUUAAAAAAAAAAAUUACCUUAGGGAUAACAGCGUAAUAUCUUUUUAAAGUACAAAUUAAUAA